rnacentral:rRNA from 1 species
GAGUGCAAUCAUACCAGCGUUAAUGCACCAUAUCCCAUCAGAACUCAACAGUUAAGCACACUUGGGCUAGAGUAGUAUUGGGAUGGGUGACGUCCCGGGAAGUCCUAGUGUUGCACCCU